rfam:Phialocephala scopiformis strain CBS 120377 unplaced genomic scaffold LY89scaffold_13, whole genome shotgun sequence.
GGGGACGUAGCUUAGUGGUAAAGCUCACAAGAAGUGUUGGAAAGCGCCACUCGGCUGGCUUGGCAGGUCGAGUUGAUCGGAAUCUGGCACUUGCUGCUGAGAUGAGAUCUGGGCGUGGACCAUUCAGAUUGUGCAUCGUUGGUUCGAGUCCAAUCGUCUCCA